CAGUCGACGGCAGCACAGGAGAGCUUGCUCUCUGGGUGGCGAGUGGCGGACGGGUGAGGAAUACAUCGGAAUCUACUUUUUCGUGGGGGAUAACGUAGGGAAACUUACGCUAAUACCGCAUACGACCUACGGGUGAAAGCAGGGGAUCUUCGGACCUUGCGCGAUUGAAUGAGCCGAUGUCGGAUUAUCUAGUUGGCGGGGUAAAGGCCCACCAAGGCGACGAUCCGUAGCUGGUCUGAGAGGAUGAUCACCCACACUGGAACUGAGACACGGUCCAGACUCCUACGGGAGGCAGCAGUGGGGAAUAUUGGACAAUGGGCGCAAGCCUGAUCCAGCCAUACCGCGUGGGUGAAAAAAGCCUUCGGGUUGUAAAGCCCUUUUGUUGGGAAAGAAAUCCAGCUGGUUAAUACCCGGUUGGGAUGACGGUACCCAAAGAAUAAACACCGGCUAACUUCUUGCCACCAGCCGCGGUAAUACAAAGGGUGCAAGCGUUACUCGGAAUUACUGGGCGUAAAGCGUGCGUAGGUGGUCGUUUAAAUCCGUUGUGAAAGCCCUGGGCUCAACCUGGGAACUGCAGUGGAUACUGGGCGACUAGAAUGUGGUAGAGAGUAGCGGAAUUCCUGGUGUAUCAGUGAAAUGCGUAUAGAUCACGAGGAACAUCCAUGGCGAAGGCAGCUACCUGGACCAACAUUGACACUGAGGCACGAAAGCGUGUGGAGCAAACAGGAUUAUAUACCC
rnacentral:rRNA from 1 species